rnacentral:rRNA from 1 species
GACGAACGCUGGCGGCGCGCUUAACACAUGCAAGUCGAACGGAAAGGCCUGCUUUCCCUUGUGGAUUGCGGGUACUCGAGUGGCGAACGGGUGAGUAACACGUGAGUGAUCUGCCCCCAACUUGGGUAUAAGCCUGGGAAACUGGGUCUAAUUCCCGAUAGGACUGCAGGGUGGUGCCUGUGGUGGAAAACGAUUUUCUAGUGGUUGGGGAUGAGCUCGCGGCCUAUCAGCUUGUUGGUGGGGUAAUGGCCUACCAAGGCGGCGACGGGUAGCCGGCCUGAGAGGGUGGACGGCCACAUUGAGACUGAGAUACGGCCCAGACUCCUACGGGAGGCAGCAGUGGGGAAGAGUGCACAAUGGGCGGAAGCCUGAUGCAGCGACGCCGCGUGGGGGAUGACGGCCUUCGGGUUGUAAACUCCUUUCGACCGCGAGGAAGCCACCUGGUUGGAAGGGUGGUGACGGUAGUGGUAGAAGAAGCACCGGCUAACUACGUG